rnacentral:rRNA from 1 species
GACGAACGCUGGCGGCGUGCUUAACACAUGCAAGUCGAACGGAAAGGCCCUGCUUUUGUGGGGUGCUCGAGUGGCGAACGGGUGAGUAACACGUGAGUAACCUGCCCUUGACUUUGGGAUAACUUCAAGAAACUGGGGCUAAUACCGGAUAGGAGCUCCUGCUGCAUGGUGGGGGUUGGAAAGUUUCGGCGGUUGGGGAUGGACUCGCGGCUUAUCAGCUUGUUGGUGGGGUAGUGGCUUACCAAGGCUUUGACGGGUAGCCGGCCUGAGAGGGUGACCGGCCACAUUGGGACUGAGAUACGGCCCAGACUCCUACGGGAGGCAGCAGUGGGGAAUAUUGCACAAUGGGCGGAAGCCUGAUGCAGCAACGCCGCGUGCGGGAUGAUGGCCUUCGGGUUGUAAACCGCUUUCGCCUGUGACGAAGCGUGAGUGACGGUAAUGGGUAAAGAAGCACCGGCUAACUACGUG